CCACUUUAGACAGUUACGUUUGUGAGGGUCUUGGCCCAGGAACGCCUGCUGCUCUGAGAGCGUACUGCCUUCUAGAAGUCUGGGGAAUUUCUUCCGUCACCAGACCGACAGGACCUCCGCAGGGAGAUUACUGUCCAGUGAGCGCCAGAGAAAGCCUGCUGACACUAGGGCUUUGGGUGGAGGAGGUAGGGUUCCUGGGAAUUGAAUCCAGGGCCUUCUCUCUGAGCUACGUCCCCACCUCCCCAUUCCCACUUUUUUUAUUUUUUAGACAGAAUCUUGUUAAAUUGCCAAAUUGCCCCAGCUGAAUUCGAACUUCGAUUCUCCCUACCUCACGCUCGGCUGUUUGGUAUGAUUUUUACUUAGUUUAUCAGUAUUUUUUUUCCUAUUUGAAGAGAGUAAUAUCUAGUCUGAUACUACCUAUUAUUGGUAUUGGAACUAGUGGGUUUAAAGGGGUUUUUUAAUUUUGUUUUGUUUUUACCGUGUGUGUGAUACUGAAGCUUGAACUCAGAGCCUCCCAUAUGCUAGGCAAGGGCUGUAACACUACGCUACAUCCAGCCCAUUUUGUUUUCUAGACAGGGUCUUGUUAAGUUACCUAGACUGGCCUUGAAUUUGCAAUCCUCCUACCUGAGCCUCCCAGUGACUGGGAUUACAGCAUGCCAUCCAGCGCCGAGUUUAUAACUGUCCACAACAGUGCUGCCCUGUAAAACUUCUUGCUGUGAUGGAAGUAUUCUACAUGUCUGCCUUAACAGGGUAGCCACUGGCCAUUGGGGGCUCUUGAGCCCUUGAAAUAUGGCUAUUGCUACUGUCUGAAUUUUCAAUUUAAUUUCAAUGUGAAUAGUCACUUUCAGCUGGUGACAACUGCACUGGACACAGGACUGGGAGGAGACCAUUAAGUUUGCUUGGAACCGAGUGAUGCACCAGGUUUAGUGCUAAAACCCUGGAAAUCCUAGGCAAAACGCUGAACUUCAGAAUCCCAUCCAGUUUCUGACAUGCCUGGGGCAAUUUCGAGGGAUACUCUACACUCAGGAGGCUAAGGCAGGAGAAUCACCUCGAGCUCGAGGCCAGCCUGCACUACAUAGCAAAACCCUGUCUCAAGAAAAGAGGAAAAAAGAGGACCUCAUGCAUUGUUAGAAGAGCAGCCACAGAGACACCAUUAUUUCAACUCACCCAGGUAGCAUCACUGAAAAAUGAAUAAGGAGUUUCAUGAAACAACCGUGGUUCUGCAGAAUAAAAAAGUAAAGCACAAGAAAGAAGCUCAUUUUCUUCCUGGUCCUAGGAUUGUCAGACAGCAUGUCUCCGGGCACAUACCCAUUCAGGCGCUGGUCUCAGGGUCUCACCAUGUAGUCCAGACUUGGCCUCAAACUCACAGUCCUCCUGACUCAGCCUUCCGAAUGCCUGGAUGAUAGGAUGCACCAUCAUGCCCAGCAGAAAUUUCUUACACCUGGCAUAAACAGCUCUCAAGAUCCCAGUUGGUGGUACAAGAAGGAGACUGACUAGAAACAGCAAGUGCAACUCUCCCCUGCAGAAGUCAUCUCCAGUCCUGGCCUCCAAGAUGCCCAGAUAAAGUCCUGAGACCAGAGCAGCUUGAAGAAGAAAAGCAUUGCCCAACCCAGGAGAAAACAUGGUACCAUGAAGUGAACUGGAAGGAACAAGCAGCAAACAACAUGAGCAGUUCCUCAAGGAUAUCAAAUAUUGACAUUAUUACUUGCCAAAAACAAAUGCUAUGUGCUUAAUGAAAUAAAAUAAUUUGGAGGCCUUAGCAAAGACCAAGAGACUAUAAAGAACAUCUAAGGAGAUCUGAAAUAAAACCAACAAGUACUUCAGGGCAUGAAAAUAAGACAGAGAGGAAUUCGAGCCCUUGAAAGUUAAUCAGAGAGUGAUGGAAAGGCCUGAUACCAGUAUGUCACUCCCCACUUCAGUGUGCAGACCUCAAACUUACCCAGUGUCCCUUCUCUGAAGCCCUUCAGCCGAAAAAUAGAAAUGCCUCUGAUUUAACAGAAAUCUGGAAGAGUUCACAGUCUGGCCCAGAGAAGUUCGUUUUAAAUUGACAGCUUUAAAAUACGGUUGAGAAGGAGCCGAGGUCGGCUGCUGCCUCAGAUCUGUCCGUGGCAGUCAGUGCCUAGGUCUCGGCCUCUGGCUCUGUCCAGCCUGUUCCUGCAGGUCUGCCUCACCCCGUUAUGCGCC
ensembl:lncRNA